UGCAGGAGGAGGAGAGAGAGAGACCAGAGGAAGAAGACCAGUUGGAGGCUACUCCAGUCUUUUAGAUGUUGCUGUCACUUCUGAUGAUUCCUAGGUUUUUACCUGCAGCCCCAACCUAUAUUUGAAGGAGCUGAUUUACAUAUUCAACUGCCAGGUGUCAUCUACUCUGGCCUACGUCUGGCAAGAUUGAGGAAAUCCCCUUCCUCCCAUGGGCCGGUGAGACCCCAAGGCCCUCACCUUGGGUUAGACCAGAAGACAACCCAUUUGACUAAUGGACACACCUGGAAGAGCCCUCUGUCUGCAGAGUGCUUUUGCCAUGGCCAUUUACCGCUUGGGAGCUAUGUGACCAUGGAGACCUCAGCUCCCCCAAAGGCACUAGAAGAGGGUGGAAGAUGACAAACAGCACAAAAGGACACUGAGUUUGGAAGUCAUAAAUAGAUAUUUGUUUGAAAACAUUGCGUUAAGCUAUUUACUGCCAUAGCACGUAGGUGCUGAAGAUGUUGGUCAUCACAGGCUGCAGGUGCACGUGUGGAACAUGCUUGUGACGUCGUCAUCCUCUGAUGCACUCAUCAGAUGCGUCAUCCUCACUGUGCACCUGCCACGUCCGAGCUCAGGAGC